rnacentral:rRNA from 1 species
AACGAACGCUGGCGGCAUGCCUAACACAUGCAAGUCGAACGAGACCUUCGGGUCUAGUGGCGCACGGGUGCGUAACGCGUGGGAAUCUGCCCUUGGGUUCGGAAUAACAGUUGGAAACGACUGCUAAUACCGGAUGAUGACGUAAGUCCAAAGAUUUAUCGCCCAAGGAUGAGCCCGCGUAGGAUUAGCUAGUUGGUGAGGUAAAGGCUCACCAAGGCGACGAUCCUUAGCUGGUCUGAGAGGAUGAUCAGCCACACUGGGACUGAGACACGGCCCAGACUCCUACGGGAGGCAGCAGUGGGGAAUAUUGGACAAUGGGCGAAAGCCUGACCCAGCAAUGCCGCGUGAAUGAUGAAGGUCUUAGGGUUGUAAAGUUCUUUUACCCGGGAUGAUAAUGACGGUACCGGGAGAAUAAGCCCCGGCUAACUCCGUG